UUGACCUCGGAUCAGGUAGGAGUUACCCGCUGAACUUAAGCAUAUCAAUAAGCGGAGGAAAAGAAACCAACCGGGAUUGCCUC
rnacentral:rRNA from 2 species